rnacentral:rRNA from 1 species
AACGAACGCUGGCGGCAUGCCUAACACAUGCAAGUCGAACGAGACCUUCGGGUCUAGUGGCGCACGGGUGCGUAACGCGUGGGAACCUGCCCUUAGGUUCGGAAUAACUCCCCGAAAGGGGUGCUAAUACCGGAUAAUGUCUUCGGACCAAAGAUUUAUCGCCUUUGGAUGGGCCCGCGUUGGAUUAGCUAGUUGGUAGGGUAAAAGCCUACCAAGGCGACGAUCCAUAGCUGGUCUGAGAGGAAGAUCAGCCACACUGGGACUGAGACACGGCUCAGACUCCUACGGGAGGCAGGAGUGGGGAAUAUUGGACCAUGGGCGAAAGCCUGAUCCAGCAAUGCCGCGUGAGUGAUGAAGGCCUUAGGGUUGUAAAGCUCUUUUACCCGGGAUGAUAAUGACAGUACCGGGAGAAUAAGCUCCGGCUAACUCCGUG